UGAUCAGGCAGAUAUGGGCUUAAGCAUGAUUCUGGCACAUGCCUGCUCAGGGCGGGGAUGAAGAGCUCAAGACAGACACAAGGAAACCAGCAAAGAACAAAUAUCAGGAAUGACAUUUUAGGUUUAGAAAUGGCAAGCUGAUCUAGAAGAGGACACAAUCAAGAACCUACCUUCCACAAUGGAGAUAAAGGACCAAGAACACUCAUCUGAGAAAUCCUUUGUCUUCUCUGCUGGAAGCACCCCUAGACACAGCCCGAUGGGAAAAUGCUGACCAAGAAGACCACAGCCCCCCUCCCCUACCUAAAACCCCAAAUAAAAACCUCUACCCAUUUCUUAACGGGGCACAAGCAACUUUUGGGGCACUGGCCCUCUGCUUUGCUCCCUCUGCCUGGCAAAGUAAAGCCUUCCCU
rnacentral:lncRNA from 1 species